AGCGAACGCUGGCGGCAGGCCUAACACAUGCAAGUCGAACGAACCUUUCGGGGUUAGUGGCGGACGGGUGUGUAACACGUUGUAACGUUCCUUUAUGUUCGGAAUAACUCAUGUAAACUUGUGCUAAUACCGAAUGUGCCCUUCUGGUGAAAGAUUAAUCGCCUUUAGAGCGGCCCGCGUCUGUUUAGCUAGUUGGUUGAGGUAAUGGCUCACCAAGGCGACGAUCAGUAGCUGGUCUGAGAGGAUGAUCAGCCACAUUGGGACUGAGACACGGCACAAAGUCCGACGGGAGGAAGAAGUGGGGAAACAAGCGCAAGGGGAGAAAGAAAGACGCAGCAAUGCAGAGUGAAUGAUGAAGGUAUUAGGAUAGUAAAAUUCUUUCACAGGGGACGAGAAGGACGGUAAACGGAGAAGAAGCCCCGGCUAACUU
rnacentral:rRNA from 1 species